rnacentral:rRNA from 1 species
UUGAACGCUGGCGGCAGGCCUAACACAUGCAAGUCGAACGGUAACAGGAAACAGCUUGCUGUUUCGCUGACGAGUGGCGGACGGGUGAGUAAUGUCUGGGAAACUGCCCGAUGGAGGGGGAUAACUACUGGAAACGGUAGCUAAUACCGCAUAACGUCGCAAGACCAAAGAGGGGGACCUUAGGGCCUCUUGCCAUCGGAUGUGCCCAGAUGGGAUUAGCUAGUAGGUGGGGUAAAGGCUCACCUAGGCGACGAUCCCUAGCUGGUCUGAGAGGAUGACCAGCCACACUGGAACUGAGACACGGUCCAGACUCCUACGGGAGGCAGCAGUGGGGAAUAUUGCACAAUGGGCGCAAGCCUGAUGCAGCCAUGCCGCGUGUAUGAAGAAGGCCUUCGGGUUGUAAAGUACUUUCAGCGGGGAGGAAGGGAGUAAAGUUAAUACCUUUGCUCAUUGACGUUACCCGCAGAAGAAGCACCGGCUAACUCCGUGCCAGCAGCCGCGGUAAUACGGAGGGUGCAAGCGUUAAUCGGAAUUACUGGGCGUAAAGCGCACGCAGGCGGUUUGUUAAGUCAGAUGUGAAAUCCCCGGGCUCAACCUGGGAACUGCAUCUGAUACUGGCAAGCUUGAGUCUCGUAGAGGGGGGUAGAAUUCCAGGUGUAGCGGUGAAAUGCGUAGAGAUCUGGAGGAAUACCGGUGGCGAAGGCGGCCCCCUGGACGAAGACUGACGCUCAGGUGCGAAAGCGUGGGGAGCAAACAGGAUUAGAUACCCUGGUAGUCCACGCCGUAAACGAUGUCGACUUGGAGGUUGUGCCCUUGAGGCGUGGCUUCCGGAGCUAACGCGUUAAGUCGACCGCCUGGGGAGUACGGCCGCAAGGUUAAAACUCAAAUGAAUUGACGGGGGCCCGCACAAGCGGUGGGGCAUGUGGUUUAAUUCGAUGCAACGCGAAGAACCUUACCUGGUCUUGACAUCCACGGAAGUUUUCAGAGAUGAGAAUGUGCCUUCGGGAACCGUGAGACAGGUGCUGCAUGGCUGUCGUCAGCUCGUGUUGUGAAAUGUUGGGUUAAGUCCCGCAACGAGCGCAACCCUUAUCCUUUGUUGCCAGCGGUCCGGCCGGGAACUCAAAGGAGACUGCCAGUGAUAAACUGGAGGAAGGUGGGGAUGACGUCAAGUCAUCAUGGCCCUUACGACCAGGGCUACACACGUGCUACAAUGGCGCAUACAAAGAGAAGCGACCUCGCGAGAGCAAGCGGACCUCAUAAAGUGCGUCGUAGUCCGGAUUGGAGUCUGCAACUCGACUCCAUGAAGUCGGAAUCGCUAGUAAUCGUGGAUCAGAAUGCCACGGUGAAUACGUUCCCGGGCCUUGUACACACCGCCCGUCACACCAUGGGAGUGGGUUGCAAAAGAAGUAGGUAGCUUAACCUUCGGGAGGGCGCUUACCACUUUGUGAUUCAUGACUGGGGUG